CUUUCAGUUGGAUGUUUAUGUU
rnacentral:miRNA from 17 species